CCUACGGGUGGCAGCAGUGGGGAAUAUUGGACAAUGGGCGAAAGCCUGAUCCAGCCAUGCCGCGUGUGUGAAGAAGGCCUUCGGGUUGUAAAGCACUUUCAGUGGGGAAGAAAGCCUUGGGGCUAAUACCCUCGAGGAAGGACAUCACCCACAGAAGAAGCACCGGCUAACUCCGUGCCAGCAGCCGCGGUAAUACGGAGGGUGCGAGCGUUAAUCGGAAUUACUGGGCGUAAAGCGCGCGUAGGCGGUCUGAUAAGCCGGUUGUGAAAGCCCCGGGCUCAACCUGGGAACGGCAUCCGGAACUGUCAGGCUAGAGUGCAGGAGAGGAAGGUAGAAUUCCCGGUGUAGCGGUGAAAUGCGUAGAGAUCGGGAGGAAUACCAGUGGCGAAGGCGGCCUUCUGGACUGACACUGACGCUGAGGUGCGAAAGCGUGGGUAGCAAACAGGAUUAGAUACCCGUGUAGGC
rnacentral:rRNA from 1 species